AAGGGCUGUCCUGGUUGAAACUAGGACAAUAACCAGGAAUAAUUAUUUUGAAAAACAGUCACCAGGUUCCUUCCUCCUGAACUUCACAAGUUUCUGUUAUAAAACUUUUUCGGAGGAUGGAGGAGAGGUGAAAUCACCAGUGUGGACAUCAGCUAUGAAGAAGAAUGCAUCUGUUGUCAGCUUAGAAAGCUGACUUCUUCUUGAAGAGCAUUUGACAAGUACUUCAAAGACUAUAUAAGAG
rnacentral:lncRNA from 1 species